rnacentral:rRNA from 1 species
AUUGAACGCUGGCGGCAGGCCUAACACAUGCAAGUCGAGCGGAUGACGGGAGCUUGCUCCUUGAUUCAGCGGCGGACGGGUGAGUAAUGCCUAGGAAUCUGCCUGGUAGUGGGGGACAACGUUUCGAAAGGAACGCUAAUACCGCAUACGUCCUACGGGAGAAAGCAGGGGCCCUUCGGGCCUUGCGCUAUCAGAUGAGCCUAGGUCGGAUUAGCUAGUAGGUGAGGUAAUGGCUCACCUAGGCGACGAUCCGUAACUGGUCUGAGAGGAUGAUCAGUCACACUGGAACUGAGACACGGUCCAGACUCCUACGGGAGGCAGCAGUGGGGAAUAUUGGACAAUGGGCGAAAGCCUGAUCCAGCCAUGCCGCGUGUGUGAAGAAGGUCUUCGGAUUGUAAAGCACUUUAAGUUGGGAGGAAGGGCAGUAAGCUAAUACCUUGCUGUUUUGACGUUACCGACAGAAUAAGCACCGGCUAACUCUGUGCCAGCCGCCGCUGUAAAAC